AAUACUGAGGAAAGUCGUAUAAAUUAUUUUAAUACUUCAAGGAGCACCAUGAUGAUACCACAAGAUUAACAGGAACUAAAAAAUCCUCUAGCUGUGGAAGGGGCAGUUCUAGCCAGAAUACUACAAAGGCGGCUCUGACACCCUCUUCAUCUGAGAAAUCAGAAGAAGACAAUGUUCGAGAAUACAAAUCUUUUGAGUCACAUGCUCAUCCAACACCUCCAGAAGCUGAUUAUGGGGUAAUAUUUAGGAGCUGUCUAUCUGGAGCACAGAUGGAGAAAGUAAACCCUCUUAUCCAGAAGAUUCAACCAGAAGCUAUUGUAUUCGUAGCUACCAUGAGGAACUGCGAUGUUCAACUACCUUGUCCUCUUCUGAUCAUUUCGAAGGAACGCGCCUUAGCCACAGCUGCACACUUUCCGGAUGAAAAUGGGACUGUCACACUUCAGGUGCUGGGCAAGAGUGAGAAGUGGCGGCCGAGAUUCUUCAUAGAAAAAGGCACG